GAUGAACGCUGGCGGCGUGCUUAACACAUGCAAGUCGAACGAGAAGUGAAGACGGAAACCUUCGGGCGGAAGGCUUUAUUUCGAGUGGCGGACGGGUGAGUAACGCGUGGGUAACCUGCCUCAUACAGGGGGAUAACAGUUGCAAACGACUGUUAAUACCGCAUAAGACCACAGCACCGCAUGGUGCGGGGGUAAAAACUCCGGUGGUAUGAGAUGGACCCGCGUUCGAUUAGCCAGUUGGCGGGGUAACGGCCCACCAAAGCGACGAUCGAUAGCCGAUCUGAGAGGAUGACCGGCCACAUUGGGACUGAGACACGGCCCAAACUCCUACGGGAGGCAGCAGUGGGGAAUAUUGCACAAUGGGGGAAACCCUGAUGCAGCGACGCCGCGUGAGUGAAGAAGUAUUUCGGUAUGUAAAGCUCUAUCAGCAGGGAAGAAAAUGACGGUACCUGAGUAAGAAGCCCCGGCUAACUACGUG
rnacentral:rRNA from 1 species